GAACGGGGUAGCAAUACCUAGUGGCGGACGGGUGAGUAACGCGUGGGAAUCUGCCCUGGGGUGGGGGAUAGCAGGCCGAAAGGCCUAUUAAUACCGCAUAUGCCGUGAGGUAAAAGGAGUAAUCCGCCCGAGGAUGAGCCUGCGUCCGAUUGGCUUGUUGGUGGGGUAAAAGCCUACCAAGGCUACGAUCGGUAGCUGGUCUGAGAGGAUGAUCAGCCACAAUGGGACUGAGACACGGCCCAUACUCCUACGGGAGGCAGCAGUGGGGAAUUUUACGCAAUGGGCGAAAGCCUGACGUAGCGACACCGCGUGAGCGAAGAAGCCCUUUGGGGUGUAAAGCUCUGUCGGCUGGAACGAAAAUAAAUAUGACGGUACCAGCAAAGGAAGCAUCGGCUAACUACGUGCCAGCAGCCGCGGUAAGACGUAGGAUGCAA
rnacentral:rRNA from 1 species